rnacentral:rRNA from 1 species
AUUGAACGCUGGCGGCAGGCCUAACACAUGCAAGUCGAGCGCCGUAGCAAUACGGAGCGGCAGACGGGAGAGUAACACGUGGGAACGUGCCCUUCAGUUCGGAACAACCCAGGGAAACUUGGGCUAAUACCGGAUACGUCCGUAAGGUGAAAGAUUUAUCGCUGAAGGAUCGGCCCGCGUCUGAUUAGCUUGUUGGUGAGGUAACGGCUCACCAAGGCGACGAUCAGUAGCUGGUCUGAGAGGAUGAUCAGCCUCACUGGGACUGAGACACGGCCCAGACUCCUACGGAAGGCAGCAGUGGGGAAUAUUGGACAAUGGGCGCAAGCCUGAUCCAGCCAUGCCGCGUGGAUGAUGAAGGCCCUAGGGUUGUAAAGUCCUUUCGGCGGGGAAGAUAAUGACGGUACCCGCAGAAGAAGCCCCGGCUAACUUCGUGCCAGCCGCCGCCGUAACAC